GUUAACUGCUGCAGUUAAAAGCUCGUAGUUGGAUUUCGGGUGGGUUGGCGCGGUCCGCCUUCUGGUGUGCACUGCGCCGGUCCACCUUCCAGUCGGGGACGGGCUCCUGGGCUUCACUGUCUGGGACUCGGAGUCGACGAUGUUACUUUGAGUAAAAUAGAGUGUUCAAAGCAGGCCUACGCUCUGAAUAAUUUAGCAUGGAAUAACGCGAUAGGACUCUGGCCUAUCCGUUGGUCUGUGGGACCGGAGUAAUGAUUAAGAGGAACAGUCGGGGGCAUUCGUAUUGCGUUGUCAGAGGUGAAAUUCUUGGAUUUACGCAAGACGAACUUCUGCGAAAGCAUUUGCCAAGGAUGUUUUCAUUAAUCAAGAACGAAAGUUGGGGGCUCGAAGAAA
rnacentral:rRNA from 1 species